UUAAUCACUUUGGGUUGCCUAUUUUGUUACCACAAGAUCACCUUGACAAGCAAUCAAUAUAAGUAACUUCCUCACCUCAAACGACAAAAUGAAGUUUAUCGUGGUUUGCGCAAUUUUCCUGUGUCCUAUUUACGCAUCAGUAUGCCAACCAAAUGUUUGCUCCACCUACGAUUGCAGCAACGAACCUCGUUCUUGUGAAGGGGGACAAGUUUUAUCUAAAGGAGCUUGUGGCUGCUGUAACAUGUGUGUUACAUAUUUGAAUGAGGGGCAGUAUUGUCUACGUUUAGGCAUAGGAGAUCCACCACUAAGUGUUCAGUGUGAUCCCCAAUUGGAAUGUGUAAACAAUAGGUGUCAAAAAAUUUAACAAUAUUGUAAUAGUAAUGAUAAUAUGUCAGUAUAUUAUUAUAUUUUUGUUACAAUAAAUAUUUAAAAAUUUAUUACUCAAA